UCCGUAGGGAGCAAGCGUUGUCCGGAUUUAUUGGGCGUAAAGAGCUCGUAGGCGGCUUAGAAAGUCAGGUGUGAAACCUCCAGGCUCAACCUGGAGACGCCACUUGAUACUUCUAUGGCUUGAGUUCGGUAGGGGAUCACGGAAUUCCUGGUGUAGCGGUGAAAUGCGCAGAUAUCAGGAGGAACACCGAUGGCGAAGGCAGUGAUCUGGGCCGAUACUGACGCUGAGGAGCGAAAGCGUGGGGAGCGAACAGG
rnacentral:rRNA from 1 species